rnacentral:rRNA from 1 species
GAGGAAUAUUGGACAAUGGGCGAAAGCCUGAUCCAGCCAUGCCGCGUGAGUGAUGAAGGCCUUAGGGUUGUAAAGCUCUUUCGAUGGUGAAGAUAAUGACAGUAGCCAUAGAAGAAGCCCCGGCUAACUUCGUGCCAGCAGCCGCGGUAAUACGAAGGGGGCUAGCGUUGUUCGGAAUCACUGGGCGUAAAGCGCGCGUAGGCGGAUAUGCAAGUCAGAGGUGAAAGCCCAGGGCCUAACCUUGGAACUGCCUUUGAAACUGCAUAUCUAGAGACUCGGAGGGGGUAGUGGAAUUCCAAAUGUAGGGGUGAAAUCCGUAGAUAUUUGGAGGAACACCGGUGGCGAAGGCGGCUACCUGGACGAGUACUGACGCUGAGGUGCGAAAGCGUGGGGAUCAAAC